GACCCGUCUUGAAACACGGACCAAGAAGUCUAUCUUGCGCGCAAGCCAAUGGGUGUCGCGUGGUACCGGCGUGUACUGCGCACAUGUGUAAACCCCACAGGCGUAGAGAACUCGAACAGUUCAGGGAUUACGGGUUCGGCAACGGCGCAAGCCUUCGUCGGGCCCCUCCAUCCCGGGGUGUCCCGCUGCCGGGCUUCGGCCCGAGUGGGCAUCCCUCGAGUGCGUAGGAUGUGACCCGAAAGAUGGUGAACUAUGCCUGAUCAGGCCGAAGUCAGGGGAAACCCUGAUGGAGGGCCGAAGCAAUUCUGACGUGCAAAUCGAUUGUCAGAGUUGGGCAUAGGGGCGAAAGACCAAUCGAACCAUCUAGUAGCUGGUUCCUUCCGA
rnacentral:rRNA from 1 species